rnacentral:rRNA from 1 species
GACGAACGCUGGCGGCGUGCUUAACACAUGCAAGUCGAACGGAAAGGCCCUGCUUUUGUGGGGUGCUCGAGUGGCGAACGGGUGAGUAACACGUGAGUAACCUGCCCUUGACUUUGGGAUAACUUCAGGAAACUGGGGCUAAUACCGGAUAGGAGCUCCUGCUGCAUGGUGGGGGUUGGAAAGUUUCGGCGGUUGGGGAUGGACUCGCGGCUUAUCAGCUUGUUGGUGGGGUAGUGGCUUACCAAGGCUUUGACGGGUAGCCGGCCUGAGAGGGUGACCGGGGACAUUGGGGCUGAGGGAGGGCCCAGACGGCUACGGGGGGCAGCAGUGGGGAAUAUUGCACAGUGGGCGGAAGCCUGAUGCAGCAGCGCCGCGUGCGGGAUGACGGCCUUCGGGGUGUAAACCGCUUUCGCCUGUGACGAAGCGUGAGUGACGGUAAUGGGUAAAGAAGCACCGGCUAACUACGUG